UACGUAGGGUGCAAGCGUUAAUCGGAAUUACUGGGCGUAAAGCGUGCGCAGGCGGUUUCGUAAGUCUGUCGUGAAAUCCCCGGGCUUAACCUGGGAAUUGCGAUGGAGACUGCAAGGCUAGAAUCUGGCAGAGGGGGGUAGAAUUCCACGUGUAGCAGUGAAAUGCGUAGAGAUGUGGAGGAACACCGAUGGCGAAGGCAGCCCCCUGGGUCAAGAUUGACGCUCAUGCACGAAAGCGUGGGGAGCAAACAGG
rnacentral:rRNA from 1 species